AAACUGUAAGAUCUUUUUGUUCUCAAAAGUUAUAUUACAUCAAGAAGUUAUAAAAACCCAUCUCUCACUUGUGCUAAAGAGUAAUUCGUACAUGCCCAAGCCACUGUAUAAACUUUAUCCAUACAAAGAAUAAUACAUACAAAAGGUGGAAAACAAGCAGAAACAACAGCAGCACUCACCAUGCCACUGCCUCCAUAGCUGCCCAAUUUUACUCAGAUGAUCUCGGCCUGCCUCUCUAAAACUUUCAACAUAAACAAAACUAGGCCAUAGACAUGCAUCAGAUAUGAACAACACUUCCCUGAUACAACAGAAAACUC
rnacentral:misc_RNA from 1 species